UGGCUCUAUAGUGUCCUCAUUGUACAUGCUGUGUGUAUUUGUCACGUACACAGCGCAUGCAAUGUGGACAUAAUGGAGCUCAAUU
ensembl:miRNA